CCUACGGGCGGCAGCAGUGAGGAAUAUUGGUCAAUGGGCGAGAGCCUGAACCAGCCAAGUCGCGUGAGGGAAGACGGUCCUAUGGAUUGUAAACCUCUUUUGCCGGGGAGCAAAAAGCGGUACGUGUACCGCAUCGAGAGUACCCGGAGAAAAAGCAUCGGCUAACUCCGUGCCAGCAGCCGCGGUAAUACGGAGGAUGCGAGCGUUAUCCGGAUUUAUUGGGUUUAAAGGGUGCGCAGGCGGCGGGUAAAGUCAGCGGGAAAAUUUGGGGGCUCAACCCCGACAAGCCGGGGAAACUGGGUGGCGGGAGGGGGCGAGGGGUAUGCGGAGUGCGGGGGGGAGCGGGGAAAGGAAGAGAGA
rnacentral:rRNA from 1 species